rnacentral:lncRNA from 1 species
UUUAUUGGUGAUUUUUUGUAAUUAAAAGAAAUCAAAAUGGUCUGAUUUUUUUUUUCCUCCCAGAUUUGUUUUCCUACUUUCAGAUGGAAUGUAUUUCAAAAUCCAUAGUUUAGUCUUUCUCAGUGGUAAAAUUUGAAGCAAGUCUUUUUAAUGUAUGAUAUCAAAAACUAGAAUUUUCAAAAGAGAAAAAUAAAUAUUUUGUCCAGGACCUCAUUAAAUAUCUAGACCAAGGGUGGCACAUUCUUUUUUUUUUGGCACAGUAAAAUGAUACCUAACUUGGCUGGUUUCUUUCAUAUGAAAAGAAAAUCCAAAAGGUGCCAUUAAAAAGCAAUAUCAUUUUUCAGGCAACAGUUUUGCAACAACCUUUGGGAGAGGAAAGGACAUCA